rnacentral:misc_RNA from 1 species
GAUGAAGAACGCAGUGAAAUGCGAUAAGUAAUGUGAAUUGCAGAAUUCAGUGAAUCAUCGAAUCUUUGAACGCACAUUGCGCCCGCCAGUAUUCUGGCGGGCAUGCCUGUUCGAGCGUCAUUUCAACCAUCAAGCCCCCGGCUUGUGUUGGGGACCUGCGGCUGCCGCAGGCCCUGAAAAGCAGUGGCGGGCUCGCUGUCACACCGAGCGUAGUAGCAUACAUCUCGCUCUGGGCGUGCUGCGGGUUCCGGCCGUAAAACCACCUUCAUAACCCAAGGUUGACCUCGGAUCAGGUAGGAAGACCCGCUGAACUUAAGCAUAUCAAUAAGCGGAGGA